rnacentral:misc_RNA from 1 species
AUUAUGCCGGUGAGGUUUUCCGGUUUAUCCCGGAGGGCUUGUAGCUCAGUUGGUUAGAGCGCGCGCUUGAUAAGCGUGAGGUCGGAGGUUCAAGUCCUCCCAGGCCCACCAAUUCAAUUAGGGAGUGAUAAAGCGCUUAUUGUACGAUGCAGAUAACAUGUACGAUUUAUCAAAUAUGCCGAGAUGAUUUUGUCUCAGAUUGAGAUUUAUCAUUUUAUAAAUUUAUGCUUUUUGUUUUUGUUCUUUUUAGGGGCCGUAGCUCAGCUGGGAGAGCACCUGCUUUGCAAGCUGGGGGUCGUCGGUUC